rnacentral:lncRNA from 1 species
AACCACCUUCUAACACCCUAGCUAGUUCAAGGUAGGGUCCGCAAUCUAACUAGCCGUUCGCAAGCCAAUCCGUGUUCGGCUCGAAAUGAGCUCGAGAUCAAACUGCUCGUUUAGUAAAUAAGUCGAAUACGAACUGAAUUUUUCAGCUCAUUUAAUAAAUGAAUCUGUUACGAGCCAGGGUCAGCUAGCUCGUGUUCGAUUCGAUAACAACUCGAAUUCAUAUAAUUUAUAUUUAUUUAUAUAUAAAUAAAUAAUUAAUUAUAUUUAUAAUUUAAAUUUUUAUUAUUUAAUUUUUAGUCCAAUCUAAACAUAAAGCCAAACCCUAUUAUUAUAAAAUUUAAACCGUUUGAUCAAAGUCUAGCAGAUAAGAUCCAAUAUAUUUAUUUUCUCUCUCUCUAUAUAUAUAUAUAUCAUUUUUAGUUCUUUAACUUCUUAUUCGUAUGCCAGUUCUUAUUUGGCUCAUGUUCAGCUGCUCAUUAAUAAACAAGUCGAAUAUGAGCUGAAUUUUUUGACUCGAUACUUUAACAAGUCAACUCUUGUUCGGCUCGGUUAUGAAAGUAGCUG